GAUGAACGCUGGCGGCGUGCUUAACACAUGCAAGUUGAACGGGGUUAUUACGGAAGCUUGCUUUUGUUUUAACCUAGUGGCGGACGGGUGAGUAACGCGUGAGGAACCUGCCCUUGAGUGGGGAAUAACACCGAGAAAUCGGUGCUAAUACCGCAUAAUGUCGGAGAACCGCAUGAUUUUCCGACCAAAGGAUUUAUUCGCUUAAGGAUGGCCUCGCGUCCGAUUAGGCAGUUGGUGGGGUAACGGCCUACCAAACCAACGAUCGGUAGCCGAACUGAGAGGUUGAUCGGCCACAUUGGGAUUGAGACACGGCCCAGACUCCUACGGGAGGCAGCAGUGGGGAAUAUUGGGCAAUGGGCGCAAGCCUGACCCAGCAACGCCGCGUGAAGGAUGACGGUCUUAGGAUUGUAAACUUCUUUAAUCGGGGAAGAAUAAAGAC
rnacentral:rRNA from 1 species